GCACUGCUGAAGAGUCCUAUAAUAGGACGAAACGAUUGUCCAGCGC
rnacentral:hammerhead_ribozyme from 1 species